rnacentral:rRNA from 1 species
UACGUAGGGGGCGAGCGUUGUCCGGAGUUACUGGGCGUAAAGCGCUUGUAGGCGGUCCACCAAGUUUGGGGUGACAGUUGCCGACUUAAUCGGCAAAGUGCCUCAAAGACUGGCGGACUUGAGGGCCACAGAGGGACAUGGAACUCCAGGUGUAGUGGUGAAAUGCGUAGAUAUCUGGAGGAACACCGGUGGCGAAGGCGGGUCUCUGGGCAGUAACUGACGCUGAGGAGCGAAAGCGUGGGGAGCGAACAGG